GACGAACGCUGGCGGCGUGCUUAACACAUGCAAGUCGAACGGUGAAGCUCCAGCUUGCUGGAGUGGGUCAGUGGCGAACGGGUGAGUAACACGUGAGCAACCUGCCCCUGACUCUGGAAUAAGCGCUGGAAACGGCGUCUAAUACUGGAUACGAGAAGGGUCCGCAUGGGCACUUUCUGGAAAGUUUUUCGGUUGGGGAUGGGCUCGCGGCCUAUCAGCUUGUUGGUGAGGUAAUGGCUCACCAAGGCGACGACGGGUAGCCGGCCUGAGAGGGCGACCGGCCACACUGGGACUGAGACACGGCCCAGACUCCUACGGGAGGCAGCAGUGGGGAAUAUUGCACAAUGGGCGAAAGCCUGAUGCAGCGACGCCGCGUGAGGGAUGACGGCCUUCGGGUUGUAAACCUCUUUCAGCAGGGAAGAAGCGAAAGUGACGGUACCUGCAGAAGAAGCACCGGCUAACUACGUG
rnacentral:rRNA from 1 species